UUAGGCAACUUUCGGUACCACA
rnacentral:siRNA from 1 species